rnacentral:rRNA from 1 species
UGGGGAAUCUUCCGCAAUGGGCGCAAGCCUGACGGAGCAAUGCCGCGUGAGUGAAGAAGGCCUUCGGGUUGUAAAACUCUGUCCUCAUCCAAGAGAAGGAAAGGUAGUAACUGGCCUUUCCAGGACGGUAGAUGAGGAGGAAGCCCCGGCUAACUAUGUGCCAGCAGCCGCGGUAAAACAUAGGGGGCAAGCGUUGUCCGGAAUCACUGGGCGUAAAGGGCGCGCAGGCGGUCUGUUAAGUCAGAUGUGAAAGGUUAGGGCUCAACCCUGAACGUGCAUCUGAUACUGGCAGACUUGAGUGAAGGAGAGGAAAGUGGAAUUCCUAGUGUAGCGAUGAAAUGCGUAGAUAUUAGGAGGAAUACCGGUGGCGAAGGCGACUUUCUGGACUUUUACUGACGCUCAGGUACGAAAGCGUGGGGAGCAAACAGG